GCAGUAAGGGGAAACAACUCCUUACUAUAAUGCAACCGCCAUGUUUAUGCGGGGAAGACCAAGUUUUGUGUUUACAAAAAGGUUGAUUUAGCGGAUCGUAUAUAUCAGAAUGACACUCAUGACGAAACAUAGAAAUAGUUCCUACUUUAAGUGUUGGCAGAAUAUGCUGUUCUGAUUGCAGAGGUAUGUGAAAUGGAAAGAAAGAGAUACAUGUACAUACAGAGACUGUUUGAAUUUAAGGUGUAAAAAUGAGCUACAUGUACCAGAAAAGAUGUUGAAAAUACCAGGUCUGGACCUUUGUGGCUGCAUGCAAUUAAUUCUGAAAUACCAGGAAACAAGAUGUAGCUGCACAGCAGACAUGGCAGAUCUUUAAAUUGCUAAUAGGCAUCAACUCAACAUUUUCAAGCUGCAUAUAAAAGGAAAAGCAUUCCUUUUCAUAGAAUCCAAGAAUUUUUUUAACCAAGUCAAGUGGUUAUUAGACCUGUUAUCAUGAAAAUACUAACAUAUAUAUUAGUAUUUACAGUCACAUGUAAUAUCCCAAAUAUAAGAACUAUUUGGUAUGUGUGACUAUCUUUCUUCCCAUGUCAUGUUACAUGUAUGCUCAGAAUAUUUUAAUGUCACAAGGAUAUGAAAUGGAUAAAUGAUAUAUUGUCAACCAUUUAAAUAAAACAGACAGGCUCACAUAUAAAUUAACUGUCUAUGUGAAAGUUCAA